AUCCCGAAAACAAGUAAGGACCCCUCACCCUAUUUCCUAUCACGGUAUUAAAGUUCAAAAUGAUAAAACGGUAUUUCUUGAAUUAACGCAUGUGUGAAAUUGCUUAAGGUUGCUAAUGGAGCCCGAGUCUAGUGUGAUUGAUGAUUUACUGUUAUUUGGCCUGUUUUACACUGUUUUACAGCUUUAAAUGCAUUAUGGGGUUUGAUGUGUUCAUUUUACAGAUUUGUGUGCAUAUAUUACUGUUUUAUCAAUUAUGGUUGAAUGACUGAAAAACUGAUACUGUAUGUUGUCUGUUUGGCAUGAAUUACGAUUUGUUUGUUAAAAUGUGAAUUGAUAUGCUGAUUGAGGAAAAGGAAAAUGAAAGAUUGUGUAGACUGAUAAUUGUAUUAUGGGGGUCAGCCUGACUAGAUAUCCUGGGAGAUGGUGGACGGACCGGGUCCGUAGGGAACCCUACCGGGAUUGUGGUCUCACAUGCCGGACGGGGUAUUGAGGUUUUAUGGUUUUGGCGCCCAUACCGGACGGGGUAUGGGGACGGCCCGUUUCACCCUCAUACCGGACGGGGUAUUGAGGUUUAUGGUUUUGGCGCCCAUACCGGACGGGGUAUGGGGACGGCCCGUUUCACCCUCAUACCGGACGGGGUAUUGAGGUUCAUGGUUUUGGCGCCCAUACCGGACGGGGUAUGGGGACGGCCCUGGAAACUGAUUAUGAAUGUUAAAGGCUAACGGGUAGCGGAACCCCUAUGGACCCCCACGGAUACUAGUAGGCUGGUAAAUGAGAAAAAGAUAUGUUGUACAAUGAUUGAAUUUCAAGAGGCGUGAUAAGUGUUAUGUUUUACAGCUUAUAUUAUUCAAUGAUUAUGAUAAUGUUAUUGUUUUUCUUAUAUUGUUUUCAUAAAUUCCACCGAGGUAAGUGGAUGGUAAAGGUUUUCAUGUUAAUAAACGAGUUCGUUGUAAAUUUUGCUCCAUUGGUCAUUUUUAUUUUCUACCCACCUUUAUCUCCGUGACGGUGAGAUAUCGUGAUGUUCUUACUGGGCUAGUGUAGCUCACUCCUUAAUUAACCAUUUCAGAUCAGGAAGACAUGGUUCCCGAGCCCGUUCCGCAGGAGGACGACGAAGGGGAUGCCUAGAGACUCUGUAGUCAUACGCAUAGUUUUAUUUUCGAGUUUCUUUCUUAGUUAGUUUAAUCUUUUAUAUUUUAAGUACGUUUUUUUGGUUUUUCGUGUAAGGGAUGUUAACUGAAAUUUUGAUCUCGCUUCCGCAUUUGAUAUAUUUAAAUACUCAUUUCAUUUUAAUAUUUACGGGGCCGCUACAGUUGGUAUCAGAGCCGCAUUUCCUCGGACCCAUCCCUUACACAAUAGUGCCUUAGAGUAAUACUCAUCGAUAUAUCGUUACUCAAUCAUUACUUGUGAAGACGAGUACACGGGAAUGAGGAGAGGAAGGCCCCCACUAAACCAAGCGGCCCAAGAUAAUUCGCUUCGGGAGGAUUUAGACAGACUAUUUGAGAUGGUGGAGGCUCUCGUAACUGCCCAGCAAAGGCAAGAGGAGAGAAGGGAGUUACCCGGACCUCCUCCGCUAGCGCAGGUUGAGCCCCCGCUACAGUAGGCUGAUCUCGAGCCACCCCGGCAGGAGCCUGUUCCUCCACAGUACCACCCGGCGCCACAGCCGCGGUACGACCCUGUACCACAGCCACGGUACCAGCAGGCGCCGCCACAGCACAUUCCAGUACCCCCACCACAUCAGCAGGUGCCACCACAGGGUCCCCCAGUUAACCCUCAGCCGGCCCAAGUUCCUCUACCUCGGGACCCCGCUACUUCCUUGAUCGACCCCGGCUUCAUAGAGAGGUACAGAAGACUGAACCCUUCUACUUUUGCAGGGGGAUCCUCUUUUGAAGAGGCCCA
rnacentral:lncRNA from 1 species